ACCUUGGGGUGAAUAUGACAAGCAGGGGACACGGGGUACAGGGUGGUCUGGGGGAACAUGGCGGGUGGGGGGGGGGGAAUUGAGACCCCCCAGGGGUGGCACAGGGGACCUCGAGGUGGUUCCUGCCCUAAAUGCCACCCCAAUGUCCCCCCCAGGGCAGGAGCUGCGGCGGGUGAAGCCCCCCCGGCGCUCGGCGUCCUUCUUCAGCCGGGGGGGGGGCGGGGGCGGCUCCUACAGCCCCGUGGCACAGGGGGGCACGGGGGGGGCCGGCUCCGAGCAGGGCUGAGCCCCCCCGAGCCCCCCAAACCCCUCCCAGUUCAGACUGGGAGCCCCCAGGACCUCCCCCUCUUUGUACCCACACCCCCCAAUAAACUGCACUGCCCCCCCCCGCCCCCUCUCCCCAGGCAGGUUUUGGUGGAAUUUGGGGCAAAUCGGGGUCGAUUUGGGGCUAAUCCGGAGCAGUUUGAGGCAGUUUGGUACCAGUUUGGGGAGGAUUCUGGGUGGUUUGGGGCAGAUCAAAGCUCAUUCAGGGUGGUUUGCGACUCAUUUGGUGUGUUUGGGGCUAAUUCCUGGCAGUUUUGAGCUGGUUUGGGAUAUUUGGGGCUGAUUUUGGAUCAUGCAGGGCAUUUUCCAGCCAGUUCCUGGGGGGUCUGAGGCCACUUUCAGUGGAGUCGGGACAUUUUGGGGCCAGUUCUGGGGGGAUUUGGGGCCUAUUCCAGGCGGCUUGGGGUCCAUUCAGGGGGGUUUGCGAUGAGCCGCAGCAGUUUGGGGCCAGUUCUAGGGGGUUUGGGGCCAGUUCUGGGGGGUUUGUGGCCAACGUAGCCAAAUGGUGGCCCCACGUGACAGCGGCCAUUUCGGGCUGGGGAUUUAGGGACACAUGUCUGUCACUCUUGUCACCCUUGUCACACGUGUCACCUCUGUCAGGAGCUUCUGUGUUGGGGGGGCUUCUCCCUCUCAUUAGCACUAACGAGAUCUUUGGGACAAAUUCCAACAUUUUUGGGGGAAGUCCUGCUGAUUUUGGGGCAUCGCUCGUUGUCCAUUUGGGACCUUCACACACCCACCCAAAAUCCCCCUAUUUCACUAUUUAACUCCAUUUUCCUCACCUUUCCCACCCAGCAGGGCUGCAUUUAUACAAAAUAUCACAUUUUCUACCCAUAAACCCCACACGCCUCCACUCUGCGGCAAAACCGUCUCAGUCUCGAAUAACUUCAUUUUCUUAAGGUGCUUUUUAGAAAUGUAAGGAUUUUUUAAGGGAGAACUGGUGAGAGUUUUGUGCUGUGGGAGGGGCCGGUGUUACCGGGGCCUAAAGAACAGAGGAACUGCUCUGAAAUCCAAAAUUUACAAACUAAAAAAUGAACAAAAUAUAAGUAUUUGAUAGGAUGAAGAAAUGUUUUGGAAUAAAUGUUACUUGAGAGAAAUCAUGAAGGACACGGGUCUCCCCCCCCCACCUCACUGUUCCUGUGGGGAGGCGCCAUUUUGGGGGGGGGGGAGCAGGUUAUGGCCGAAUAAAAGGAGAUUUUCUGAGGAAAGUAAGACAUUUCUGAGGUAAAACUUUACAUUUAUGAGGGAAAUAAAACAUUUUUGAGGCAAAUGGGGAACUUUCUGAGCGAAAUGAAGCAUUUUUGAUACAAAUCGGACAUUUCUGAGCGAGAUAAGACAUUUUCUAUUCAAAUAGGACAUUUCUGAGGCAAAUCGGACACUUCUUGAGGGAAAUCAAACCUAUUUAAGACAAACCAGACAUCUCAGAGGGAAAUGAGACAUUGAUGAGGCAAAAUCAGACGUUCCUGAGGCAAACCGGACAUUUUCUCAGGGAAAUCGGUCAUUUUCUGACGGAACUCGGUCAUUUCUGAGGCAAAUGACAUUUUCCUGAAGGAACUCGGGCUUUUCUGAGGUACAACCAAGGAGAAAAGGGUGAUUUUUUUUUUAACCGUUCACCCUCUCCGGACGCGGCGGAGGUGACUCGCCGCUCUCCCCGCCCAAUGCGGAGCGAGCGGAGCGCUGGACGCCGCGCUCCCGCCCCCGGCGCCGCCCCCGCGGCGACUGCGGCAAAACCAAGGGAGGGGCCCGAUGAGGGGCGGGGUCUCCCUGUGGACCCGCCCAGACGCCUCACUCUCGGAUCCCUCCGCGCGGGGAUCCUUCCGCCCCUCACAUGGCCGCGGUCGAUUCACCGCGGAUCCCUCCGCCGGAUCCUUCCGCGGCCGCUCCCGCCCCCAAAUCUCUUUUUUUUUUUGCCUGUAAAUGGGCGUGGGGGAGGGGCGGAAGGAAAGUCGGGGCUGUGGGGGAGGGGAGCGAGCGGGGGGAGGGGGUCUGUGCCCAUUUGGCGGCUGUUUGAGGGGGCCCCGCGGAGGAGGGGACGCGAUGAAGUUCCCCCCAUGCACGCGUCCCUUUUCGUGAGGAAACGCCCCAAAAAUGUUGGAACAGCUCCUUCCACACCCCCAAAAUGCCUCAUCGGUUUCAUCAGCACCUUUAAUUAGCCCCAGAGCAGCUUUAAUGAAUGAUAAUUAAAAGGUGGGGGGGAGGGUUGUCCCCUCCCUGCCAGCACUUUUGGGGUGUCAUUUCCUGCCCGGAAACGCCUCAAAAUUCCAAAAAAGGGCUGUAAAAUGUCUUUUAAAAGCCUUUAAAUCCCUCAGAAUAGUGGAGGUUUAUUCCCCUUUUUGAAAACAGGGACUUCCAUGACUCGGCAUGGCCUGAAAUGGGCAGAAACACGGGGAUUUUGAUGCAUUUCUGUCGUAAAAAAGGAAAUUUAAAUGGUGGUUAUGGCUGUGCUGUAUCAGGGUGGAAAAAAAGGUUUUAAAAGUGUCGUUUGGGCUUUUUGGGGAACAAAAACUGGUGAAACUGGGCUUUGGGUCUGUGUUCCCUCAAGAAUUUUUUUUCCCCCCCAAGAUUUGUCACCCUUUUGAGGAGAAACUGCGCCUUUUUGGCAGCGGCCCAGCUCCGUGACGCAGCAAAAGCAAAAACCAGAGUAAAAUGAAUGAACAAAAAACAAAAAAAAACCCAAACCCUCCAGAACCACCCGGGAAGGUCGAAGCGAGGGAUUUUAGGGCAGAAUUGGCCAAACCGAACAAAAAAAUCGCUGUUAGAUUUAACCAUUUUCGUGCUGGACGGCGUGGGGCGGCCGGAGGCCCACGGCCGUGGGGGGAGGGGGUGACGCAGUUUGUGAGGGGAAAAAAUCAAAGAAAGGGGUAAAAAAUGUGAAAUAAUGGAAAAAUAAGCUUUUUCACACUGCGGGUGGUGGAUUUGGGGGGGGGGAUUUUGGGGGUCGAUGCCCUUUUUUGGUGAUUUUAGGGACUAUUUUGUCGCCCCCGCGGGGGCGGCGCCGAGCCGCUUAUAAGGGAGGGCCCCGCGCCGGCAGCGCCCGGCCGAGAACCAGCCCCGAAACGGCCCGAAUUCGGCCCAAAAGCGCUUAGAGCUGCUCGAUUUUAUACAAAAAGCUCCUAAAAUGGCUUUAUUUCCUACCGAGAGCUCAAAAAAUGGCUUUAUUGCCUACCAAAAGCUCUUAAAGCUGCGAUAUUUUAUAGAAAGAGCUCCUAAGACUGCUUUAUUUCAUAAAAGCGGCUCUUAAAUAUUUAUUUAAAGAAAAGAGACAAAAGCUGUUUCCUUUAAGGAAAACUGAGCUCUUAAAGCUGCUUUCUUUCAAUAUAAAUCCUUAAACUGCGGCGAUUCCAGUAAUGGGAAAAGCCGGGGCGAGCCGGGGCACUUUUAAUUGAAAAAAAUGAAUGAAAAACCUUUAAAAAGCUCUUAAAGCUGGUUUUCAUUUAAACCGAAGCUUCUAAUGCUGGUUUUUAAGAAAUCGCUGCUUUCAAAGCCGAUUUCUGGGAGAAGAGGCAGCUCUCGCAGCUCUUUAAUUCUUAAAAUAUCCUAAUGUGAUAUUUUCGAAAAGCCGGAGCGAGCUGGGGCGAUUUUAAUUUAAAAAGAGCUUUUUAAGCUUCUUUAAUUCAAAGAAAGAAAAAGCGCUUAAUUCGCUGUUUUCUGCUAAAAAAGCUCCUAAAUUUACAUUUUAAAAAAAAGCUCCUAAAGCUUUUAAAACAUCUAGUUUUGUCCCCAAGUGGGGCCGGGCCGGGCAGCGCAGGCGGGGGCGGCCGGUUUGGGGUGAAAUGCGGCAUUUUCAGGCUCAGGAUGGAUUGAGAGGAGCCAAUUUUGAGGGAAGAGCAGGAAAACUGAAGAGUGAAGAUGGAGUCGGCAGGGAGAGGAAAGUUUCUUCACAGUGACCCCAUCUGGGGGGAAAAAAAGGACUUUUUGGUAAAAUGGCGGCAGUUGGGCAGGGGAGGAGCAGAGAGAAGAGAGGAAAACAAGGACAGAAAGACAGAAAAUAGA